rnacentral:rRNA from 1 species
UGCACAGACGGGUCGGUAGUCUGUGUAAGAGGUAGGGUGGGAGCGUUGUGCGUGCGUAUGCGUCGUUAAGUGCUCCUGGUCGGUCUGUGUCGUCUUGUGGGAAAAUGCAGGGCUUGACCCUGGACCUGCAUCUGGUACGGGCAGACUAGAGUGCUGUAGGGGAUAUCGGAAUUCCUGGUGUAGCGGUGAAAUGCGCAGAUAGCAGGAGGAAGACCGGUGGCGAAGGCGGAUCUCUGGGCCGUAACUGACGCUGAGGAGCGAAAGCAUGGGGAGCGAACAGGAUUAGAUACCCCAGUAGUC